rnacentral:rRNA from 1 species
GUUAGGAAUAUUGGACAAUGGGCGAAAGCCUGAUCCAGCCAUGCCGCGUGAACGAUGAAGGCCUUCGGGUUGUAAAGUUCUUUAGCCGAUGAUUAUAAUGACUGUAGUCGGAAAAUAAGCCCCGGCUAACUUCGUGCCAGCAGCCGCGGUAAUACGAAGGGGGCGAGCGUUAUUCGGAAUCACUGGGCGUAAAGCGUGCGUAGGCGGUUUUGUAAGUUAGGAGUGAAAGCCCAGGGCUCAACCUUGGAAUUGCUCUUAAAACUGCAAGGCUCGAAUCUCGGAGAGGAUAGCGGAAUUUCCAGUGUAGCAGUGAAAUGCGUAGAUAUUGGAAGGAACACCAGUGGCGUAAGCGACUAUCUGGACGAGUAUUGACGCUGAGGCACGAAAGCGUGGGGAUCAAACAGGAUUAGAAACCCGGGUAGUCC